rnacentral:rRNA from 1 species
UAAGGAAUAUUGGUCAAUGGACGCAAGUCUGAACCAGCCAUGCCGCGUGAAGGAUGAAGGUCCUCUGGAUUGUAAACUUCUUUUAUCUGGGACGAAAACGGGAUUUUUAUCUCAAUUGACGGUACCAGAGGAAUAAGCACCGGCUAACUCCGUGCCAGCAGCCGCGGUAAUACGGAGGGUACGAGCGUUAUCCGGAUUUACUGGGUUUAAAGGGUGCGUAGGUGGGCUUAUAAGUCAGUGGUGAAAUCUCCGAGCUUAACUUGGAAACUGCCGUUGAUACUAUAGGUCUUGAAUUAUCUGGAGGUAAGCGGAAUAUGUCAUGUAGCGGUGAAAUGCUUAGAUAUGACAUAGAACACCAAUUGCGAAGGCAGCUUACUACAUAUAAAUUGACGCUGAGGCACGAAAGCGUGGGGAUCAAACA